rnacentral:rRNA from 1 species
GUCUAUGGCCAUACCACCCUGAAUGUUCUCAAUCUUGUCUCAGAAGCUAAGCAGGGUCAGGCCUAGUUAGUACGUGACUGGGAGAAAUACAGAAAUGUAAACG